rnacentral:rRNA from 1 species
GACGAACGCUGGCGGCGUGCUUAACACAUGCAAGUCGAACGGAAAGGCCCUGCGUUCUUGCGCUGCCCGAGUGGCGAACGGGGGAGGAACACGUGAGUAACCGGCCCUUGUUUUUGGGAUAACUUCAGGAAACUGGGCUUACUACAGGAUAGGAUCUCCUGUUCCAUGGUGGGGGUUGGAAAGUUUCGGCGUUCGGGGAUGGAGUCGCGGGUUAUCAGUUUGUUGGUGGGGUAGUGGCGUACCAAGGCUUUGACGGGUAGCCGGCCUGAGUGGGUGACCGGACACAUUAGGACUGAGAGACGGCCAAGACUGCUAAGGGAGGCAGCAGUGGGGAAUGUUGCACAAUGGGAGGCAGCCUGAUGCAGGAAGGCCGCGGGCGGGAUAACGGCCUUCGGGGUGUAAACCGCGUUCGCCUGUGACGAAGCGUGAGUGAGGGUAAUGGGUAAAGAAGCACCGGCUAACUACGUG